CGCCCAUGUCUCCCCCAGUUGCAAAACUAAUGGAAACUUUGUUAAUGUCAUUAAUCUGCCGUCCAGGACAUGGACCAAACAUGUUUAACCUUCCCGGGGUAGGCCGCCGCCACCAAAGCUGCAGCAAGCGUCCGCACACGAUCAAUGGUAAAGUGCGGGGGUGGCAAGGCGGGGGGCGCCAAAGAUGGAUACUAUGGACAGGUUAACCUAUCGACUGCUCAACAGUGACACAGGGAUGGAGACAAAGCUCAGACAUCGCCAAUCGUCAUUGUCUGAAUGUAAAUGGAAAAAUGUGUGCCACCCCGUGCAAGAUCCACGUUCGGAGCCCCGGCUCGACGUCGCUGAACGACACGCUUGAUUUUGCGCCCGGCACGAAGGUGCACA